rnacentral:rRNA from 1 species
GAUGAACGCUAGCUACAGGCUUAACACAUGCAAGUCGAGGGGCAGCACUAGGUAGCAAUACUGAGGUGGCGACCGGCGCACGGGUGCGUAACGCGUAUCCAACCUUCCCGUUACUCAGGGAUAGCCUUCCGAAAGGGAGAUUAAUACCUGAUGGUGUUUGAAUUCCGCAUGUUAUUCAAACUAAAGAUUUAUCGGUAACGGAUGGGGAUGCGUGACAUUAGGUAGAUGGCGGGUAACGGCCCACCAUGCCUACGAUGUCUAGGGGUUCUGAGAGGAAGGUCCCCCACACUGGAACUGAGACACGGUCCAGACUCCUACGGGAGGCAGCAGUGAGGAAUAUUGGUCAAUGGGCGAGAGCCUGAACCAGCCAAGUUCGCGUGAAGGAUGAAGGAUCUAUGGUUUGUAAAACUUCUUUUAUACGGGAAUAAAGUGUGGUACGUGUACCAUUUUGUAUGUACCGUAUGAAUAAGCAUCGGCUAACUCCGUGCCAGCAGCCG